rnacentral:lncRNA from 1 species
GUUUUUCUAUACCAUUUUCUCCUCCUUUCUUUCCAUUCAGUACUUCUAAGGAUUUCAAGGUACAAAACUACCUAUGCUCAGAAGACCCUGUUCUCUGACACUGCUAACUCACACUGAGUUCAGAGUGGCCAGCCCAUCUGAUGGACAUCAGGUCAGGUCAGAGUUCUUGCUUGUAUCUGGACAGAUUCCACAGAGCAGACUGAGGAAACUUCCUGGACCCAAGUCCCCAGAGGAUGCUGUGGGUGAGGUUAACUUCACCUCCAACUUAAAAAGAAUAAAUAUAGUGCAGGCCACCCCAAAGGCCAAAGGUUGAAAGUCUGGUUUCCAUGGCAGGAGAGAGACGGCCCCAUCCUCUGAAAAUGGAAAGCAAUGAAAACUUCCGGGACCAUCUACUGUCAAAUAACAAGGUUCCGAAAAGCUUCAUAUUACCCUAAAAGGCAUAAGAUGAUUGAGGAGCCACGGUCCCAAGUGCUACAACAGCUCCAAUUGAAAGUCUUCGGACAGUUCCUUUGAAAGUCCUGCCCUGUGGCUUUGAGCUGUCCAUGAGAGUUAGUACUGGUCAUGCUGUUCCCUUGAACAAACGCCUUGACAGAGAAGUCAUUCCGAUGACGGAUGAUAACUCAUUCCUGGACAUGUGCCACCUCAAGUCGUAGCUCACCUUUAGUCUUCUUUGGUUGACCAGAUUUCUUACCUGAAGAGACCAGAAGAGGGCACAAGAGUUUCCUGGAACUGGAGUUAUAAAUAGUUAUGAGCCACCACAUGGAUGCUGGGAAUUGAAGUUGGACUUUCUUGAAGAAUAGCAAGUAUGGUUAAACAAUAAAACAUCUCUCCAGCUCCCUAUUAUGUUUUUAUUUCAUUGACUGAAGUAUUUUCGUUCCAUGACAUCACUUUCUUUCUUUCUUCCUUCCUUCCUUUCUUUCUUUCUUUCUUUCUUUCUUUCUUUCUUUCUUUCUUCCUUC